UGGGGAAUUUUGGACAAUGGGCGCAAGCCUGAUCCAGCAAUGCCGCGUGCAGGAUGAAGGCCUUCGGGUUGUAAACUGCUUUUGUACGGAGCGAAACGGCUCUGUCUAAUACAUGGGGCUAAUGACGGUACCGUAAGAAUAAGCACCGGCUAACUACGUGCCAGCAGCCGCGGUAAUACGUAGGGUGCAAGCGUUAAUCGGAAUUACUGGGCGUAAAGCGUGCGCAGGCGGUGAUGUAAGACAGGCGUGAAAUCCCCGGGCUUAACCUGGGAAUUGCAUUUGUGACUGCAUCGCUGGAGUGCGGCAGAGGGGGAUGGAAUUCCGCGUGUAGCAGUGAAAUGCGUAGAUAUGAGGAGGAACACCGAUGGCGAAGGCAAUCCCCUGGGCCUGUACUGACGCUCAUGCACGAAAGCGUGGGGAGCAAACA
rnacentral:rRNA from 1 species